GGGGACUUGCCUGAGUGUAAUCAGGUUGGUGGGUUUGUGCUAUGGCUGAAAACCAUUUUAUUCUCUGUCAACUUCUGUAUUGAUGCAUUGCUCAUGCAUCCAUGAGUCUCUGGUCUUCUUCCUGAGAUAGUCAUUUUCUAUUUUAAGUGCUAGCUCAGUUUCUUCUAAGGAAUUAGUAGUCAUUUUAAACGUGACAUUACAGCUGGCAGUGGAGUGUACGGAUGAAGAACUGUGUCUGUAUGCCUCAUUCAAGACCAUUAUAAUAUCUGUUGUAAUCAUUACCCAAAAAAAAAAAAUUGUUGUAAGAUGCUUACUAGCUGAAUGUUCUGAAACUGUGUAGAAAUAUGUUACCCGAAAAGUGUGUAACUGAUGCCUGAAGGUGCCCAUGUAAUGUGUCUCAUCUUCAAUUCAACUUAUUCAAAUUGUAGCUUACAUUUUGAACCUUUCUUCCAUCUAUAUUUUAAGCAUUAGCUGCUGUUUGCUACUAUUAGACCAACGUGAUAUGGUUAUUAUUGUAGGUGUUUUACUUCUUAGUUCUUACGCAUGUUAAUGAUUUAUAAGGUAGGAACUUGUGCCAUGUUACAGUUUGGAAUCUUAAAUAGCAUAAAUUCAACGGUCAUGAGACACAUUGAAAACUCAGAUAUCUAAAACAAUCAAGCAGU
rnacentral:misc_RNA from 1 species